GGGGAUUUAGCUCAGUGGUAGAGUGCUUGCCUAGCGAGCGCAAGGCCCUGGGUUCGGUUCCCAGCUCCG
rnacentral:tRNA from 1 species